AACGAACGCUGGCGGCGUGGAUAAGACAUGCAAGUCGAACGCUUGUACCGGAGUAGCAAUAUUUCGGUGCAGGAGUGGCGCAAGGGUGCGUAACACGUGGGUUAUUUGCCGUGAAGCUGGGAACAACUCGUUGAAAGACGAGCUAAUACCCAAUGUGCUCCGCAAGGAGUAAAGCCGGGGACCGCAAGGCCUGGCACUUCACGAUAAGCCCGCGGCCUAUCAGCUAGUUGGCGGGGUAAAAGCCCACCAAGGCGAAGACGGGUAGCUGGUCUGAGAGGACGACCAGCCACACUGGAACUGAGACACGGUCCAGACACCUACGGGUGGCAGCAGUCGAGAAUUUUUCACAAUGGGCGAAAGCCUGAUGGAGCGACGCCGCGUGGGGGAUGAAGGGCUUCGGCUCGUAAACCCCUGUCAUUCGCGAACAAAGGUGCCGGCCUAACAUGCCGUCGCCUGAUAGUAGCGGAAGAGGAAGGGACGGCUAAACUCUGUGCCAGCAGCCGCGGUAAU
rnacentral:rRNA from 1 species